rnacentral:rRNA from 1 species
GGCGGACGGGUGAGGAACACAUAGGAAUUUGCCCUUAAGUGGGGGAUAACCCGGGGAAACCCGGAUUAAUACCGCAUGAACUCGAGAGAGCAAAGCAGGGGACCUUCGGGCCUUGCGCUUUUGGAGAAGCCUAUGUCGGAUUAGCUAGUUGGUGAGGUAAUGGCUCACCAAGGCUGCGAUCCGUAACUGGUCUGAGAGGAUGAUCAGUCACAUCGGAACUGAGACACGGUCCGAACUCCUACGGGAGGCAGCAGUGGGGAAUAUUGGACAAUGGGCGAAAGCCUGAUCCAGCAAUACCGCGUGUGUGAAGAAGGCCUUCGGGUUGUAAAGCACUUUAGGUCGGAAAGAAAAAACUUGGGUUAAUACCUUAAGUCUUGACGGUACCGACAGAAUAAGCACCGGCUAACUCUGUGCCAGCAGCCGCGGUAAUACAGAGGGUGCGAGCGUUAAUCGGAUUUACUGGGCGUAAAGCGUGCGUAGGUGGCGAUUUAAGUCGGAUGUGAAAGCCCUGGGCUUAACCUGGGAACGGCAUUCGAUACUGGAUGGCUAGAGAUCGGUAGAGGGCAGCGGAAUUCCGGGUGUAGCGGUGAAAUGCGUAGAUAUCCGGAGGAACACCGAUGGCGAAGGCAACUGCCUGGGCCUGAUCUGACACUGAGGCACGAAAGCGUGGGUAGCAAACAGGAUUAGAUACCCUGGUAGUCCACGCUGUAAACGAUGAGAACUUGACGUCUGCUUGCUAUGCGAGUAGGUGUCGUAGCUAACGCGAUAAGUUCUCCGCCUGGGGAGUACGGCCGCAAGGGUGAAACUCAAAGGAAUUGACGGGGGCCCGCACAAGCGGUGGAGUAUGUGGUUUAUUUCGAUGCAACGCGAGAACCUUACCUGGUCUUGACAUGUCUGGAAGUCUGCAGAGAUGCGGAUGUGCCUUCGGGAACCAGAAACACAAGGUGCUGCAUGGCUGUCGUCAGCUCGUGUCGUGAGAUGUUGGGUUAAGUCCCGCACGAGCGCAACCCUGCCCUAGUUGCCAUCAUGAGUGGCACUCUAAGG